rnacentral:rRNA from 1 species
GUUCAGAACGUCGUGAGACAGUUCGGUCCCUAUCCGUCGUGGGCGUAGGAAAUUUGAGAGGAGCUGUCCUUAGUACGAGAGGACCGGGAUGGACAUACCUCUGGUGUACCAGUUGUCGUGCCAACGGCAUAGCUGGGUAGCUAUGUGUGGACGGGAUAAGUGCUGAAAGCAUCUAAGCAUGAAGCCCCCCUCAAGAUGAGAUUUCCCAACUUCGGUUAUAAGAUCCCUUAAAGAUGAUGAGGUUAAUAGGUUCGAGGUGGAAGCAUGGUGACAUGUGUAGCUGACGAAUACUAAUCGAUCGAAGACUUAAUCAAAA